rnacentral:rRNA from 1 species
GACGGAAGGUGCAAGCGUUGCUCGGAAUCAUUGGGCGUAAAGGGUGCGUAGGUGGCGCGCUAAGUCAGGUGUGAAAUUUCGGAGCUUAACUCCGAAACUGCAUUUGAUACUGGCGUGCUUGAGGACUGGAGAGGAGACUGGAAUUUACGGUGUAGCGGUGAAAUGCGUAGAUAUCGUAAGGAAGACCAGUGGCGAAGGCGGGUCUCUGGACAGUUCCUGACGCUGAGGCACGAAGGUCAGGGGAGCAAACGGG